rnacentral:rRNA from 1 species
GACGAACCGUGCAAACGUUGUUCGGAAUCACUGGGCUUAAAGGGCGCGUAGGCGGCUUGUCAAGUCAGGGGUGAAAUCUUUCGGCUUAACCGGAAAAGUGCCUUUGAUACUGACAGGCUCGAGGGAGGUAGGGGUAUGUGGAACUUCUGGUGGAGCGGUGAAAUGCGUUGAUAUCAGAAGGAACGCCGGUGGCGAAAGCGACGUACUGGACCUCUUCUGACGCUGAGGCGCGAAAGCUAGGGGAGCAAACAGG